rnacentral:tRNA from 1 species
ACCUGGCUGGCUCAGUCUGUAGAGCGUGUGAUUCUUGAUCUCAGGUUUAUGAGUUCAAGUCCCACGUUGGGUG